rnacentral:lncRNA from 1 species
AACAUACUCUUACUAUGUGUGAUAUACUUUAAUCCCCACCCCCUGCACCAUUUUAAAUGUUCUUCAGACCCACUAAAUUAAUUUCCCGACUCAUAAUGGAUUGCUGUUCAUAGUUUGAAAAGCACUGCCACAGGUAGUAAACUGGGCUGCAUAUGCUAUUUUCUGGGGUUGCUUCUGGUUGGAAAAGGGGUUUACAAAUGAAAAUGUAAGUGUUUAUUCCAAAACAUCUUCUUAGCUGAUGAUAACAUAAUUGUGAGUUUUAGGAGCAUCAUGAAUUUUAAGGAACCUAUCAUGGUCUUCCACUUGAGAAUGGCUUUUGCUUGGGGAAAGAUCAACUCUGGAUGUUUUUCAGAAAGCUCAUGGCCUCAGAGGACUUGGUGUUUUCCGGUUCGAUAUUUCCCCCUCCGCUGAGUGUCUUCUAACUUUCCUUUACUGGGCCAGGGGUACUCUUCCCAGGCAAGAAUGCGUGUCGGUCAGGUGUUUUCAGAAAGUAAGAGUCAUGGACAGGAAUUGUGCUCUUGGCCCAUAUCAAGUGUUAAAACCUCAUCAAAUUUUAUGCUUUUUAAACUUUUUGUUAUUUAAUAUUAGGAAUUUCCCAUGGUGCUGAGAGUGGUGCUAAGAUACUUGAACCUUAGUGCUAUUGACUUAAUUUAUUUUAGCUUUCUAAGCACAUUUCUAAUUUAAACAUGUAAUGCCUUCAUCUUGACCAGCCAAGUCGUUUGCACAACCAGCGAUGCUAACUCAUGGUCUCCCAGUGCAGUUUGUGUUUGGUGUGUACAUAGUUAUUUAAAAGGGUUAGUAACAGAGUUUGUAAUUGUGGAAUGUUGAUACUGGUGAACAAAUGGCAAAAAAAACCUGUGCAUGUUUAUAUCUUCGGCCUUCAUUUUCCAAAGCUAUCUGGAACAGAUUUUUUAUUAUUUUUUCCCUACGAAUAUUCAGUGUUACUUGUCAUACAAGCAACUGAUUAGAGUCUAAUUACCAAAUUCCUUAUUCCUGGAAUUAGUGCACUAGAUCGUCACAAAUUUAUUGAUACGUGACAAGGAGGUCCCCGAGGUUUGGCAGUUGAAUGUCAAAACAAUGAAAGUAGAAUAAAAUUGGUGAUAAAGUCCAGCACUUUCUUUAAUUAAUGUUUAUGUCCAGUUUGCCGUUGCCGGUGUGUCUGCCUAUAAUUCAGUUUACCUGCAUAAUAAAACUGAUUGCCACCGAGUCUCCAUUGCUUUUCCCUUCUAUCUUUUCCUUCUGUCUUCACUAACAAGAAAAAGAAAAAAAGAUGUGACCUUGUUGGUGUGUGCUCUAGUGCAGCAACUGCACUGUGUGAACACUGCCUGCCCUUUGGAGGGCGUUCCUACCUGCUGCUACCACAAUACGGUCGUGCUGCUUGUUAAGGAUAGGGCCCCAUUUCGACAUUGGCGCUCACUGUAAUGUACAAAC